UUAUCAGCCUGAAUACUAUUAUUAUUACCACCACCACCGUAACCACAGGAAACGGGGCGGGCUGACGCAUCCAAAAAAUAAAAUGAAAAAGCCCGCAUCCAAUAAGAUGUGGGUUUUUUUUUG
rfam:Providencia burhodogranariea DSM 19968 genomic scaffold scaffold00004, whole genome shotgun sequence.